UACAGAGGUGGCAAGCGUUGUUCGGAAUUACUGGGCGUAAAGAGCUCGUAGGCGGGAGCGUACGUCUGAAAGGAAAUCUCAGGGCUCAACUCUGGGGCUUUUUCAGAUACGGCGCUUCUUGAGUGUAACAGAGGAAAGCAGAAUUCCCGGUGUAGCGGUGAAAUGCAUAGAUAUCUGGAGGAACACCGGUGGCGAAGGCGGCGUUCUGGACUGCAACUGACACUGAGGAACGAAAGCCAGGGGAGCAAACGGG
rnacentral:rRNA from 1 species